AGAGUUUGAUCCUGGCUCAGGACGAACGCUGGCGGCGUGCUUAAGACAUGCAAGUCGAGCGGAGAAAUUUUGAAAGCUUGCUUUUGAAAUUUCUAGCGGCGGACGGGUGAGUAACGCGUGAGCAACCUGCCUUACACAUCGGGACAACAGCUGGAAACGGCUGCUAAUACCGGAUAUGACCACAGCCGGGCAUCCGGCGGGGGUGAAAGGGUUUACUGGUGUAAGAUGGGCUCGCGUCUGAUUAGCUUGUUGGUGGGGCAACGGCCCACCAAGGCGACGAUCAGUAGCCGGCCUGAGAGGGUGAUCGGCCACAUUGGAACUGAGAUACGGUCCAAACUCCUACGGGAGGCAGCAGUCGGGAAUAUUGGACAAUGGGGGAAACCCUGAUCCAGCAACGCCGCGUGAAGGAUGAAGGUCUUCGGAUUGUAAACUUCUGUUCUAAGGGAAGAAACAAAUGACGGUACCUUAGAAGAAAGCCCCGGCUAACUACGUGCCAGCAGCCGCGGUGAUACGUAGGGGGCAAGCGUUGUCCGGAAUGACUGGGCGUAAAGGGUGUGUAGGCGGCUUGUUAAGUAAUAUGUGAAAUCCCGGGGCUUAACCCCGGAACUGCAUUUUAAACUGGCAGGCUUUGAGUGUGGGAGAGGCAAGUGGAAUUCCUAGUGUAGCGGUGAAAUGCGUAGAUAUUAGGAGGAACAUCGGUGGCGAAGGCGACUUGCUGGAACAUAACUGACGCUGAGGCACGAAAGCGUGGGGAGCAAACAGGAUUAGAUACCCUGGUAGUCCACGCCCUAAACGAUCUU
rnacentral:rRNA from 1 species